CGUCCAUGACCUUUACACUUCGUCUUCAUUGUUUAACUCUCAGAAAUUCGCCGUUACCACGAUCACUCAAAUCGAUUCAAUAUGUUCUUUACUACUUUCUUCAUGAUUUCGUUUCACCUCCUUUGUUUUUCUUCCUAUAUAAAGCCUUUUACAUCAACCUAAACCUGCAGCCUCCACAGAAGAAGAUAGAGCUGGAUUCAGAUUUCAUUCGAUGAAAUAGUUCAAUGAGAACUGCAACAGGAGAGCCGAUCUAUAAGAUUAGCUAAUCGAUGGACAAAAUCUACAGGAGCUCCAACUACUACUCAUACUUGACAGCAACAGAAGUCGCUUGCGUACAUCUCCUCCUUUACGUUGUUCCGAUACAAAUUCCCUACGGCUUGGGAAUCUCGAGGUUUCGUAAUAUGUAUUAUCUUCCUCGGGUCGUUCACAGGUAAGGAAAUAGUCUCACUGUUUGUAAGAAUUUUGAUCUGAUCACUUCCUUUCAGAUUUUGAAUUACUCCGCUUUUUGAGGACGACAGAGUUUCGAAUUGAAAUGUGAUGGCUCGCAUGAACCUCUCUCUUACCGAACAUAACCGCGGGAGAGAUCCACGUCAUCAUGAAGUAGACUUCGCAAUCUUCUCUCAGAAACUCUGUUACUCUCUGCUGAAACUUCCCCGACACGUCUCUGCCUCCAAAAACGUCGAGAACGUGAAGAUUGUUAUCCUCCUUGACUGUGAACGUAUAGUUACUUUGCUCUCUCUCUGACCUCAGAGGUAAGCAAGGAACAACUGUCUUGAUCUCUAUCGUCACAACCUCUGUGAAGUCUCUAACCAGUACAUGAGAGACGAUGAAGAUCGUGAAAACGAUGAGAGAUAUGACUGAGGCUGCAGAUUCUGUGAAGAGUGAUGAUCAUGAGUGGUUUAACCGCCGGUGAUUGAACAUCGCCGUGAAUUUCUUGGUGAUGACGUUAUCCAUUUUGGUUAAGAAUUAAAGCCACUAAUCCAACGUGACGGACCAAAGUGCAAAAGAUGUGGAAUCUACGAGGAAGACAACUUUUAUAUAUGAUUCAUUUGACCCUUCUCAUUCACCGCUGAGAGUAAAUACACACAUGCAAGGACAACAAAUUUAUUGCUACUUUUCUCUGUCGUGGAUGCUCACAAGUAGGGGCUGCUGAAUGCAUCCAUACAUGGAAUUGUCAAAGCUCUCUUUGAAUCUUAGCGUGGGUUCCAGAAGUCGUUGCUAAACCCUUAUCUGAUUAGCGGAGACAUGGUCAGCAGGAACAAGGAGUGUGGCAAAAUUCCUGGAGAAAGCGUUUCUGGAGCAAAGGGAGAAAGGUGAAGAAGAAAAUGCGAGUUUGUUACAGAUUUGCAGAGGAACAACUCAGACGGAAAGCGCAAGACUCUUCUACGAGACUUUGGAUGUCACACCUGGUUUCUCUGUCCGGUUCAACUUUGUUGGAUUUAUCGGUUUUCAAGUAUUGGAAACUCUCUUAAUUGAUUUGAGAUGGGCACUAACGUGUUCUAGGUAAAAAUCUUUGCCAAGACUGAUGACUUUCAGAAUCAGGCUCACUUUCUGAAUCUUGCCAGAGCAAGUUGUAGUUCUUUGAUUUCGUUUUAAUGAAUAUAUUUUUAAGUGCAGCUCAACAUAUAAAAUGUCAUAUUUGUCGGAUGUUGAGCAUUAGAUCCAUAUAGAUUUUCUAAAAUCAUACUUCAUUUGUUUUAUUUUAUAUGUCGUUUAAAGUUAUCUCACACAUAUUAAAAACUACA